rnacentral:lncRNA from 1 species
UGGAAUCGAGGAGCUGAAACUGGUUCAAUCUGUAUCCUGUCUUUGGUAUUGGAAGCAUAUGGGAAUGGGAUGUUUUUGUACUAGAUUGAUAAAUAAAGUCUAGACAAAAUUCUCCCUGUACUCCACAUAAAAAACUCUUCCCUUCACACAUUGAUUAUCCCCCUGUUUUCAAUGUGCCUAGCGAUACCCUGCAGCAUAAUAUCUAAGAAAGAUCGGAAAUAAAAUAAAGUUAG